rfam:Caldithrix abyssi DSM 13497 chromosome, whole genome shotgun sequence.
CCUGCCGUUGAAACGGCGGGCUAUAAUCAUUUCAUCCCUUCGGGAUU